ACGGAAGGCAGCAGUGGGGAAUAUUGGGCAAUGGGCGCAAGCCUGACCCAGCAACGCCGUGUGAAGGAAGAAGGUCUUCGGAUUGUAAACUUUUUUCUUAUGGGACGAUCAUGACGGUACCAUAGGCGGAAGUCACGACUAACCACGUGCCAGCAGUCGCGGUAAUACGUAGGUGACAAGCGUUAUCCGGAAUUAUUGGGUGUAAAGGGUGCGUAGGCGGGCUGUAAAGUCAGAUGUGAAAUACCGGGGCUCAACACCGGAGCUGCAUUUGAAACUUACGGUCUUGAGUGAAGUAGAGGUAAGCGGAAUUCCCAGUGUAGCGGUGAAAUGCGUAGAUAUUAGGAGGAACACCAGUGGCGAAGGCGGCUUACUGGGCUUUUACUGACGCUGAGGCACGAAAGUGUGGGGAGCAAACAGGAUUAGAUACCCUGGUA
rnacentral:rRNA from 1 species